GCCGACAAGGCCGUUAUAAUUAUUAUAGCUGAUAAACCAACCAAAUAUACAUACAAGGCUUGGAAGCCCAACAUACUACACUAACUGACAUGAUAUGUCUACAAGCCUCUACUGAUAGACAUACUAUGAUCGGGACAACUCCCUGACCUAUUCAUAACAUAUAUACAUAUAUACACAAGAUAUACAUAAAGCUCUAGACCCGGCAACUCCGAAAGGCAUGGAGCUUACCGAUCAAGCUGAACUCGGAAAAUACUUGAUGAGGAAGUCUACCCGUCUGUCUGUCUGAACCUGCACGCAUGAAAUGCAGUGCCUCCAGAAAAGGAACAUCAAUACGAAAUAAUGUACUAAGUAUGUAAGGCAGUAUACUGAAAGUGAACUGAUAAUAUAAUAAUUGCAAGCAGCUGGAAGUCAAAGAUAAUCUGAAGAUAAGCUUACCUGCUGAUACUGACUCAACUCUCUCAAUAUAGUAAGUAAAAUAGUUGUCCGACCCUAUAAGGCUCGGUAUACAUACAUAUAUAUAUAUAUAUAUAUAUAUAUAUAUAUAUAUAUAUAUACUACUAUAUAUAUAUAUCUACUCUGUCGUAGUAGGCUCACUCAUAAGCGUUCGACUACUGUAGGAUCGGUAUAUAACUUACCAUCUGAUCAGAGGUUGCCCAAUAAGGGCCUGCCCAUCGACCAUAGCUCGAUGGUAAUGAAAAUAAUUUUAAUACUGUAUAUAUGUAAACUCUCUGCUCUCUUGACCGGAAGAAGGAAAUACUCAACCGAAUAUGAAUUCCCCAUAAGGAGAAUAUGAUAAUUUAUAAAACUAGAAAAAUAUACGUAACUUGCGAGACUAGCAAAAUAUACGCAAAUUUCGGGAUAUGAAUUUUUCUUUAUGCCUCGUUAUCAAACUUGUAUAAUGACGAGAUCAUGCCAAAAUGAAGGAAGGGCUUAGCCUUAACAUACCUUAGCCUCUAGAGAACUUCCACUACAAGGUACAAGCCAAGCGACAGAUACUCAUGCAUUCUCAAUACACGAUUGUGAGAACUGGACUAGAUCUUCUUUAGCACAGUGUAGUGGAUAUGUCUUGAGUUAAUAUGCACUUUGAAUACACAUUUCUUUCAUUGGCUUCACACAAGGGAGCUACCUAAAGAGCACACCUUUUCAGCAUGGUAAGUUACUUCGGUGAAUGAUGCAAUGCUGCUUUUCAUAAUUAUGAACCAAUAAGGUAUACAUAUGUGCAAAUACCAUUCAUAAUCCCUGAUACAGAAGUCCCUAUAUAACAUUAUUGGUUUCACUAUAUCCAUGUUCCAUAACAGGACGUACUCUUUAUUUCUGGAAAGACGAUACCAAAUCAAAUACAGACUGUCUGACAGAAAACUGAUGAGAUGCGUCUUGAACCAAAAAGAGGUUGUCGUUUGAAAAGUUAGACUCAAUUAACCCCUUGAUAUUCCUUGCGCCAAGACAGUAAACUUACUUAACUCCAUUCGUUUUCUAGAGAUGUCAUUCAGUAAACUUAUUACUACUAAGCAUGAAUAGGUAUAUAGCUAGAUAUAAAAUUUAUCCUUAGA
rnacentral:lncRNA from 1 species